CCCGGCACAAGCGGUGGAGCAUGUGGUUUAAUUCGAUGCAACGCGAAGAACCUUACCUACUCUUGACAUCCAGAGAAUUCGCUAGAGAUAGCUUAGUGCCUUCGGGAACUCUGAGACAGGUGCUGCAUGGCUGUCGUCAGCUCGUGUUGUGAAAUGUUGGGUUAAGUCCCGCAACGAGCGCAACCCUUAUCCUUUGUUGCCAGCGAGUAAUGUCGGGAACUCAAAGGAGACUGCCGGUGAUAAACCGGAGGAAGGUGGGAUGACGUCAAGUCAUCAUGGCCCUUACGAGUAGGGCUACACACGUGCUACAAUGGCAUAUACAAAGAGAAGCGAACUCGCGAGAGCAAGCGGACCUCAUAAAGUAUGUCGUAGUCCGGAUUGGAGUCUGCAACUCGACUCCAUGAAGUCGGAAUCGCUAGUAAUCGUAGAUCAGAAUGCUACGGUGAAUACGUUCCCGGGCCUU
rnacentral:rRNA from 1 species